UACGUAGGGUGCAAGCGUUGUCCGGAAUUAUUGGGCGUAAAGAGCUCGUAGGCGGUUUGUCGCGUCGGCUGUGAAAACUCGGGGCUCAACCCCGAGCCUGCAGUCGAUACGGGCAGACUAGAGUGCUGUAGGGGAGACUGGAAUUCCUGGUGUAGCGGUGAAAUGCGCAGAUAUCAGGAGGAACACCGGUGGCGAAGGCGGGUCUCUGGGCAGUAACUGACGCUGAGGUGCGAAAGCGUGGGGAGCAAACAGG
rnacentral:rRNA from 1 species